rnacentral:tmRNA from 1 species
GGGGCCGUAAUGGUUUCGACAGGCUGGUAAAAGCCACCCCGUGAAGCAGGUCGAGAGGGAGUCCACUCUCGCAAAUAAAGGCUCAAACAAAAUAGUAAUUGCGAACAACAUCGUUCCUUUCGCUCGUAAGGCAGCUGCUGUUGCCUAAACAAAACCUCUAACUAGGUUCGAGCACUCAUCGUCUGACACCGUUAA